GCUACGUGCAACUAUGAGUGUAUGUGCCCAACUUUGAUCUUCUGUCUUAUUUGAAAAUUUUUUAUAAUUGGUAUUUUUGUUGUUAUAAGAUAAUAAAACAUGAAUAAUACUUUAUAUGUGAUUUAUGUUUUAAUUUUUUUUCAAAAUUUUUCAAAUAAAACGGACGAUCAAAAUUGAGCACGGAAAAGAAUGGCUGCAAUUAAA
rfam:Oryza glumipatula chromosome 6, whole genome shotgun sequence.